UACGGAGGGUGCAAACGUUGUCCGGAAUCACUGGGCGUAAAGAGCAUGUAGGUGGCUAGAUAAGUAAGCGAUUAAAUACCGACGCUUAACGUCGGGACUGUUACUUAUACUGUCUGGCUUGAGGGUAGCAGGGGUAAGCGGAACUUUAGGUGUAGGAGUGAAAUCCGUAGAUAUCUAAAGGAACACCAAUGGCGAAGGCAGCUUACUGGGCUAUUACUGACACUGAGAGACGAAAGCUAGGGGAGCAAAUGGG
rnacentral:rRNA from 1 species